rnacentral:rRNA from 1 species
AACGAACGCUGGCGGCGUGCUUAACACAUGCAAGUCGAACGCGAAAGGGGCUUCGGUCCUGAGUAGAGUGGCGCACGGGUGAGUAACGCGUAGAUAACCUGUCCUGGUGUCUGGAAUAACGUCUCGAAAGGGGCACUAAUACCGGAUAUUCUUGCUUUCUUCAAGGUAUGCAAGGAAAGGUGGCCUCUGGAACAAGCUACUGCACGAGGAGGGGUCUGCGUACCAUUAGCUAGUAGGUGGGGUAAUGGCCUACCUAGGCGACGAUGGUUAGCGGGUGUGAGAGGAUGAUCGGCCACACGGGCACUGGAAUACGGGCCAGACUCCUACGGGAGGCAGCAGUGAGGAAUAUUGCGCAAUGGGGGCAACCCUGACGCAGCGACGCCGCGUGAGUGAGGAAGGCCUUCGGGUCGUAAAGCUCUGUCAAGAGGGAAGAAGUGCAUGGUGGUUAAUAUCCGUCAUGUUUGACGGUACCUCUAAAGGAAGCACCGGCUAACUCCGUGCCAGCCGCCGCUGUAA